AUGGCGGCAAAGAAACAACUCUUUCGCUUUGGGUCUUCCGUGAUAAAGGACGGGUCAGAGAUUCGUUUCUGGGAAGACAUCUGGCUAGGCAAUGCCAGUCUCCGAGAACAAUAUCCAGCCUUGUACAACAUUGCUCGCGAUAAGAACAAUACUAUUGCACAGGUGCUCGGCUCAUCCCCGCCGAAUAUUUCAUUCAGGCGGGAUUUGGUUGGCGCCCGACUUAUGUCAUGGCAUAAUCUUUUAUCCCGUCUGGAUCUGAUUAACCUGACGCAAGGUCGUGAUGUGUUUCGCUGGAACCUUACUACAUCAGGGUCUUUCACGGUAGACUCUAUGUAUCGUGCGCUCACGCAUUUUAAGGUACCGGAGAGCAAUAACAAGAAAAUCUGGAAGACAAAGAUUCCACUAAAAGUUAAAAUAUUCAUGUGGUAUCUUCGUAGAGGUGUUGUGCUAACCAAAGACAACCUUGCACGACGCAACUGGCCAGGAAGUAAGAAGUGUUGUUUUUGUACUUUUGACGAGACAAUCAAACACCUUUUUUUUUCAAUGCAAGUUUGCGCGUUCUACGUGGUCAGUCAUCCAAAUAGCGUCAAAUUUGUAUCCGUCCACAAGUGUUGCCAAUAUUUUUGGUCAUUAGUUGGACAGUAUUUCAAAUAG
rnacentral:rRNA from 1 species